rnacentral:rRNA from 1 species
AGGCGGUCUGUCAAGUCGGAUGUGAAAUCCCCGGGCUCAACCUGGGAACUGCAUUCGAAACUGGCAGGCUAGAGUCUUGUAGAGGGGGGUAGAAUUCCAGGUGUAGCGGUGAAAUGCGUAGAGAUCUGGAGGAAUACCGGUGGCGAAGGCGGCCCCCUGGACAAAGACUGACGCUCAGGUGCGAAAGCGUGGGGAGCAAACAGGAUUAGAUACCCUGGUAGUCCACGCCGUAAACGAUGUCGAUUUGGAGGUUGUGCCCUUGAGGCGUGGCUUCCGGAGCUAACGCGUUAAAUCGACCGCCUGGGGAGUACGGCCGCAAGGUUAAAACUCAAAUGAAUUGACGGGGGCCCGCACAAGCGGUGGAGCAUGUGGUUUAAUUCGAUGCA